UCCAAUGCUUUUUCUAGUUU
rnacentral:snRNA from 1 species